rnacentral:rRNA from 1 species
CACGUAGGUGGCAAGCGUUGUCCGGAUUUACUGGGCGUAAAGAGCGCGCAGGCGGUCGUUCAAGUCGCGUGUGAAAGCCCCCGGCUCAACUGGGGAGGGUCACGCGAUACUGAUCGACUCGAAGGCAGGAGAGGGUAGUGGAAUUCCCGGUGUAGUGGUGAAAUGCGUAGAUAUCGGGAGGAACACCAGUGGCGAAGGCGGCUCACUGGCCCGGAACUGACGCUGAGGUGCGAAAGCGUGGGGAGCAAACAGG